rnacentral:rRNA from 1 species
AAUGAACGCUGGCGGCAUGCCUAACACAUGCAAGUCGAGCGAACAGACGGGGAUUUUUCUCGUAUGCCGUUGGCGGCGGACGGGUGAUGCCUACGGGUAUGACCUACCUAUGAGAAUGGGGUGCCUACACGGGACCAGGUCUAAUAACCGAUGAUAUAUUGAACUGCAUGGGUCAAUCGUGAAAGUCGGUUUUGGUGUGACUAAUAGCUGGAUCCGCGCCGCAUUAGCUAGUGGGUAGGGUAACGGCUUACCAAGGCUACGAUGCGUAGCCGACCUGAGAGGGUGAUCGGCCACACUGGAACUGAGACACGGUCCAGACUCCUACGGGAGGCAGCAGUCGGGAAUCUUCACCAAUGGGAGAAAGCCUGACGGAGCAACGCCGCGUGAGUGACGAAGGUCUUCGGAUCGUAAAGCGCUGUAAGUAGUGAGGAAGAAAAGUGUUUUUAACCAUGCUCGUAUUGACGGUACCGAAUGAAUAAGCCCCGGCUAACUACGUG